UGGAUAGGAUAUAACCGCUUUGCUGCUUUGUGAUGAUACAGGGCAGCAGUGAGGUAAAGUCCGGGCUCCUUCGGAAAAAAUGCCGGGUAAUAACCGGGCGAAAACAGGCAGCUGCAGAUUUCUGCAAAGCCCCGUUUUUCGACAGAGAGUGCAACAGAAAUUAUACCGCCCGCUGCAAAGCGAGUAAGGGUGAAAAGGUGGUGUAAGAGACUACCGGUCAGGCUGGUAACGGCCGGCGCUUGUAAACCUCAUUUGGAGCAAGGUUAAGCAGCAGUAAGGUUUUUCCGAGCUUUUUACUGCGGGUAAACCGCUGGAGCAGACUGGUAACAGUUUUGCGUGGAUAGAUGGUUAUGCGUGAAGUUUGAUUUUUCAGGCUUUACAGAACAGAACCCGGCUUAUUGUCCUAUCUUUUUU
rnacentral:RNase_P_RNA from 2 species